UACGGGGGGGCAAGCGUUGUCGGAAUUACUGGGCGGUAAAGGGCGCGUAGGUCGGUUGGAUAAGUCAUGCUGUGAAAACCACGGGCUUAACUCGUGGCCUGCAGUUGAGACUGUCUGGCUUGAUGUGUGGGGAGAGGGCAGUGGAAUUCCCGGUGUAGCGGUGAAAUGCGUAGAUAUCGGGAGGAACAUCAAGUGGCGAAGGCGACUGCCUGGCCCAACACUGACGCUGAGGUGCGAAAGCGUGGGUACGCAAAACAGGG
rnacentral:rRNA from 1 species